rnacentral:rRNA from 1 species
AUUGAACGCUGGCGGCAGGCCUAACACAUGCAAGUCGAGCGGAUGAAGGGAGCUUGCUCCUGGAUUCAGCGGCGGACGGAUGAGUAAUGCCUAGGAAUCUGCCUGGUAGUGGGGGAUAACGUCCGGAAACGGGCGCUAAUACCGCAUACGUCCUGAGGGAGAAAGUGGGGGAUCUUCGGACCUCACGCUAUCAGAUGAGCCUAGGUCGGAUUAGCUAGUUGGUGGGGUAAAGGCCUACCAAGGCGACGAUCCGUAACUGGUCUGAGAGGAUGAUCAGUCACACUGGAACUGAGACACGGUCCAGACUCCUACGGGAGGCAGCAGUGGGGAAUAUUGGACAAUGGGCGAAAGCCUGAUCCAGCCAUGCCGCGUGUGUGAAGAAGGUCUUCGGAUUGUAAAGCACUUUAAGUUGGGAGGAAGGGCAGUAAGUUAAUCCCUUGCUGUUUUGACGUUACCAACAGAAUAAGCACCGGCUAACUUCGUG